UACGUAGGGUGCGAGCGUUGUCCGGAAUUACUGGGCGUAAAGGGUUUGUAGGUGGUUUGUCGCGUUGUUCGUGAAAUCCCGUGGCUUAACUGCGGGCGUGCGGGCGAUACGGGCAGACUGGAGUACUGCAGGGGAGACUGGAAUUCCUGGUGUAGCGGUGGAAUGCGCAGAUAUCAGGAGGAACACCGGUGGCGAAGGCGGGUCUCUGGGCAGUAACUGACGCUGAGGAGCGAAAGCGUGGGGAGCAAACAGG
rnacentral:rRNA from 1 species